rnacentral:rRNA from 1 species
CCUACGGGAGGCAGCAGUGGGGAAUUUUGGACAAUGGGGGCAACCCUGAUCCAGCAAUGCCGCGUGAGUGAAGAAGGCCUUCGGGUUGUAAAGCUCUUUUGUCAGGGAAGAAACAGCAGCUCUAACACAGCUGUGAAUGACGGUACCUGAAGAAUAAGCACCGGCUAACUACGUGCCAGCAGCCGCGGUAAUACGUAGGGUGCAAGCGUUAAUCGGAAUUACUGGGCGUAAAGCGUGCGCAGGCGGUUAUAUAAGACAGGUGUGAAAUCCCCGGGCUUAACCUGGGAAUUGCAUCUGUGACUGUAUAGCUAGAGUGUGUCAGAGGGGGGUAGAAUUCCACGUGUAGCAGUGAAAUGCGUAGAUAUGUGGAGGAAUACCAAUGGCGAAGGCAGCCCCCUGGGAUAACACUGACGCUCAUGCACGAAAGCGUGGGGAGCAAACAGGAUUAGAUACCCUGGUAGUCCACGCCCUAAACGAUGCUGACUAGUUGUUCGGGAUUUUAUCCUGAGUAACGUAGCUAACGCGUGAAGUCAGCCGCCUGGGGAGUACGGUCGCAAGAUUAAAACUCAAAGGAAUUGACGG